UUGCAGGUGUUUGUGGAAUGAAAGGUUAUCCAGGUCCCAGAUGUUCCCACCAUCUUGUCUCAGAUGCCUUCAGUGCCCUCUCCAAGCUCCUGCUUUUCUCUGUACAGAAUAACCAGGGCAAGUAUAGCUGUGUGAGAUAGGUUUUUGUUAUUUAGUACUUUUAGUGCUAGCAGUAUUAUUAUUUUAAUGAGCAGUUAUUCAGUGUUGUCUCUGCCCUGGUUUACCAGUCUGUGCUGCUAUUUGUGUGAGAGCUGCCUUGUGAGCUGUGAGGGAAGUGAAUUGCUCUGAAUCUGACUGCAGUUUACACUGGGGGCAAUGAGAGAUUGACCAGGUCUAUGAUCUCAGUGAAACUGGCACAAAUAUGGGCUUUUGAAAAUGGAGAAGCUGCCUACAUGGUAUGAAAGGUGUUUUUGCAGUGUAUUCCCUUUGAGUUUGGCAGAGAACAGGUUUUUCAGCUAUCAGUUCAACUGGGUCUCUUAAUGAACAGCUGUUCCUCAUUGGCAGCCACCAGUUUCUUGUGGAUUAUUUCUGAAACAGCAAGAGACAGCAGCAAUCAUUUCUGUUACCCUUGACUAAAGGCUGCCUGUCAAAAUGUUUCCUCCAUCUCUGUAGCAAGGAUUAGGGUGUUUUUCCCAGCUCAUGAGGAGUUAGGUGAUCUUAAAGGAUUUCCCAGUCUGCUCCCAGAUUCCUCCAAAAAGUCUCAUUUGUAAGUUUGUGACCAAAGAAAAUAAAUAUCAGAUCAACAGCUACCUUUCCUUCAAGAUGUUCUUAGCGCAGGUACUUGCACUGAGGAGGAAAACAGACUCCACAGGAGUGGGUGAAAAUGAACACAAGACACCCCUGUGCUCAGGCUCAUCUGCAGCAUUUCCAUCUCUGAUGCUGAGGAAGGUUUUUGCACCAUACCUGUUUGGUGCCGUCAGGAGUUUAUCCACUGGAGUUCUCCCCACCCUCGGUGCCUGAACACACCAAAAGUUGCCUGGCAAGACAGAGGCCUGAACCAGGAUGAUGAAGGCAACAGGAAUAUGGAAGAAAAUCAGUGGCUGUGUGUGAGGAGUUGGUUGGACACGGAGCCCCCUCAGGUGCAAAGCCAGAAGCUGUAAGGCCUGGCAGGAUCAGGAUGGAGGAGCUGGCAGCUCCCUCACCCUCCCUAAAGGGAAAGAGCUGCCAAAAGGGAACGCAGCCCUCGAAGUUGUUUGUUCUUCUAACAGCAGGUUGAGUUGGCUUUUAUGUUUCCAAAUGUGUAUCUGUGCACCUCCCCACUGAUUCAGAGCAGCUGAUAUGCCAGGAGACCGGGAGGAUGGCUCCUGGGGAAGACAAAAAUGCUGGUAGAAAGGGAAAUUUCACACUCAGAUAUCUGGAGUCUUUUUUAUCAUAAAAGAGGAAGAGCAAGCUGUGCAUGACAGGUAUUAGUCAUAUUAUGCAAUUCAGUACUGGGAAGUACACAAGGGCUGCAAUGAGAAGCAUUGUGUGAGAACUGAUGUAAAACUGACUAUUCACACUAAAACUACUUCAGCAUUUCUAUGAGUGCUUUAUCUUGAAAGCACCUCAUAUAAAUAUUUCCAGAGGUAAAAGAUGAUGUGAGUCUGCAGGGUAUUAAAAUCUGGAGGGGAGGACUAGUCUG